CUUUGAAGUUGAACUGAAAUUCUUUUUUGGGCAACCAGCUAUCACCAAGCUCGAUAGGCUUUUCACCUCUACCUAAAAAUCUUCCCACUAUUUUGCUACAUAGACGGGUUGAUUCAUGAAAUUGUUUUUAGGUAGCUCGUUUGGUUUCGGGGUUCUAGCUAAAUUCUUUUUGUUAAGGAAUUUUCUAGUUAAUUCAUUAUGCAAAAGGUACAAGGUUUAAUCUUUGCUUGUUUUUACUUUAAAUUAGUCUUUCAUCAUUCCCUUGCGGUACUUUCUCUAUAGCUCCUGGUAAGUAAAUUUCUUUCUCCAAUACUUUUUGAGUUAAAUGUUUUAGUUUAUGUGGGGGUUUAGUUAUGUUGGUUGUAGGGCUAGGGUUAGU
rnacentral:rRNA from 1 species